UUCUUAUUUCUUCUUCUUGUUUCUUCUUUUUCUCCUUCUCUGCUCGUUCUUCUGCUGAGAGUCUGUGAGAGCUAAUCGAGUGAUCAGUUUUUUACUCGUGUGCGGUUAAUGAAGGUUGAUGUUGCUGCAGUCGAUUGAGUUAUGGAGGAGGCGGAAAUUUAGGGUUUGAGGAAUAAAUGAGUUAAGGUUUGAUUUGAGGUUUAGAGAAGAAUUAGAAGAUGAAGAUGAUGAAUUCGGGGAAUUGAAUUAAGAUGGGGUUGUUCUUAAUUAACGUUUGAUUGAAUCUACAUGGUUGUUUGAGGAUUGGAUAUGAUAUUAGGGUUUCUGAAUUUGACUCAGAGAUGAGUUCGAAGAAGAAUUAAGAGAUGGAAUUGGUAUUCUAGGAGAAGGAAUUGAGAUGGGUUUAUGUCUAAUUGAGCUAUGAAGUUGAUUCAGUGAAGAAUCGAGGGGUUAGCGUUUCUGCAUGUUGAGUUGGAAUUCGAUUUGAGCAAGAAUUAAGAAGAUUGGUGGUGGUGCUGGAGUUGAUUGAGGUCAGGAAACCGAGUGAAGGUAAAUCAAGUAGAUCUGGAAUUAGAUUUAUCUUGUUCUGAAUUUGAAUUAUAUGUUUUGGUUUCUGAAUUAGGGUUCAAUAGAAUUGUUAUGAAUAUUGAUAUUUGUUUGUAUUGUUGGUGAAAGAAGAAUGAAGCAAUUUCAGUUAGGGUUCUUAAUAAAAUGAAGUUAGGGUUCAUGGGUUUGAUCUGCAAGUGAAAGAAUGUCAAUUCAAUGGAUGUUGUUACUGGGGUAAGCUUUUAAUUGCAUUAAUUGGAUACAUGAAAGAUGAAUCAUUGAAUUGUUGAAUUUUAUAGUUGUUAUUGAAAUUGUAUUAUGAGAUGGAAAUGGAGCAGAACUGUGGAUGAAGUAGGUUUGUAUUGAACUACUGUGAACUAGAUUAAAUAGAGAAAGUACAAGAAAAUACGAAGGUUGAAUUGGUGUUGCAGGUUUGAGAAUGUCUGCAAGUGGUGGUGUUCAUGAGUAACAUGGAUUUAGAAAUGGAAUUGUAAUUGUGCUUAUUACUGCAGGGCAUAGAUGUAGUCUUAAACUCAGCUGGAAAUGCAACCGGUGAUGGUGUUUUUGUGUUCUAACUGGCAGUUGAAGUGAAGAACAUGUUUGAGAUGUGUAAUGGGGUGGUUCUGUAAUUGUUGGUGGCGCUUAUGGGAUGGUACUGAUGAAUUGAACUGAUAUUGCUGGUGGUGAUGGUUUGUUUAGGUCAUGGUGAUGUGCUGUAGUGAAAUCUGGUGGUAUGAGUUAUAGGAAUGAAUGUAUAGAUAUUCUUGUUGAAUGGAACUGUGUUAGUAGUGAAGAUUAUGUAAUUGGAAGAGAUUGGAUGUGGGUCUAAGUGUAUGAAUUAUAGAUGGAAAAAGUGAUUGAGUUGAGAUAAGUCUGGUGGCAGAUGAAGAUAAAUCAGAUUCAGAGUUGGAGAUGGCGCUGUUGUUUCUGUGUUGAAUUGAAAGAGAAGAGAAUAUGUGAGAGUAGUGAUUGUAGAAUCCAGUUUGGGUAGUCUCUUUGAAAGCUUGCUAAUACUGCAAUUACAGUUAGUCAAUUAACAACGCUCGAUUCAAAGGAUGAAGCAGUGGAUCGUGGAUCUCGAGGUAGGCGUGGUUUGUCAUCAAAAUAGUUUCAGAGACAAAUCAGAGUUGCGCAGCGAAAUCUUCGAGGCGUUUGUUAGAUUACUUCUGCUAUGUUUAAUAUGUUGUAUAUUCUAUUUGCAAACCAUGGUUAUUGUAUAUGUAUCAUUUGAGAGAAGUUUUGUGUAUAUAUAUAUAUAUUUCAGAGCGGGGAUAGUUAUUGGGUUUUAAGUUCUGUAGCAGAUUUCUUAAUUGAAUGCUUAAAUAUACGAUUUGGAUUCUUAGUGCCUCUGUUUUUAGU